rnacentral:rRNA from 1 species
UGCCAGCAGCCGCGGUAAUACGGAGGGGGCAAGCGUUGUUCGGAAUUACUGGGCGUAAAGGGCGCGUAGGCGGCCUGCCAAGUCGGGUGUGAAAGCCCUCGGCUCAACCGAGGAAUUGCACCCGAUACUGGCAGGCUCGAGUCCGGGCGGGGGUGGCGGAAUUCCCAGUGUAGCGGUGAAAUGCGUAGAUAUUGGGAGGAACACCCGUGGCGAAGGCGGCCACCUGGACCGGAACUGACGCUGAGGCGCGAAAGCCAGGGGAGCGAAUGGGAUUAGAUA